CUUAUGUAUUUCAGUGAGCAAUCAGUGCACUGUCUGGCAAACUGUAUGGAAACAGAGCUGCAUAAGUAAGCAUGAAAAAUGAAUAACGAGAGACACAAGCAAAUGAAAGAAUGUGAGGCUUGCUGCUAGUGACUUAAUCAUUUGCAUUUUGGCGACGAUUCGAAUCAGUCGAGUGCUAAAGAUGAAGUGGAAGAUUCAAACUGUUAUUGAACAACUUUUUCUACGAAAUAAUUCUCGUAGGUAAUAACAGUGCAAUCAGUGAUUUAUUGCUUUACUGUGUUCUUUGUUGCUGUUGGUGUGUUACUGUGUAGAAUAGGGCUGUUUGUGGGAUUAUGCAGAUUUCCUAGAUGUCACACGCGCAUUUUGUCGGACACCUCCAAAACCGUCUAAGUCGAAACUAGUUCCAAAACCGUCCAAAUGUGAUAAGGUUUCAUGCAAACAGGAUAAAUAACCCCAAUUUAAUUCAGAAUGCGGUGUUUGGUAACGCAGUCAUCAUCGAGUUUCUAGCAUUCUUUUUCUCACCGUGAUUUAUGGUGGAGCCGCACCGAGUAUAGGACAUUAGUGCUCUCGGCGGACAAGUCCUUUUGUAGCAAUAGGUUUUGCUAAACGAUAACCGUUUGUGAUAAACCAUAACAAAUGGAACAAACAAACAAAACAUAUUUACAUGCCGCCACGAAUCUGAAACUUUGGUCGCUAGCGCUAACCAAAAAAUGCUGACACGACCCUCGUUCACCCAAGCGCCCGCUAUGUUAACCGAUUUCACUGGUGCAUAAUGCUGACAGGCUGGUUCCGUGUGGGAGCAAAACGGAAUAGUGAUACCGUCGCUGGCGCGGGUGAUGAAAAAUUAUUGUUUUUAUGGAUUUUCUAGCUACGAAUAUUAAUUCAAAACUAUGCUUACUUUUUUUCAACAGAUUACAUCCUGCUUUGUACUAAAAGCUGUCGCUAGUAUCCGACAAUUUUGCCUAUUAUUUCAGUGGAGUUUCAGUGUUUGUUGCUCUGUCGUAUUCCUGCCUUUUGUUCUGUUGACACUAAGCGCAGUUUUAUACCCACGUUUGAAUACCUUUUCACAUUUUCAUGAUAUAUUUUCAAUGUCCUGCAAUUGUUGUAUCAUUGUUAUUAAAUAAUAUUUCCCGGAUUUUGUCAAGAUUUUCGAACCUCAUAAGUUGGGCUUUCGAUAUUUGAUAAAGCUGCUGUGUGUAUGUUCGGCGCCAAUUUUAAACUGUUUAUGGCCCUGGCCACUCUUAAUACACACUGGCCUUCUCCAUCCUCGCCAUCCUCGCUAAACUAAUCGAAACCUCCGCUACCUUACCUCCAUCUUCCUUUCCACUUUCCUUUCCACCUUCUUUACACCUUCUUUUACGCCUUCUUUUCGUUUUUAAUGCUAACUGAGCUCUUUGAUUGGUUCUAGAGACAAACGUUAAAUUGUUAUAAGCUAUUAUUGUUGGGGCCUCCCAGUCGCCGAAGCUUUUUAAUCCCUUCCUUGGCGCACAUCCGGCCGGUUUCGGAACGCCACUAUUUCGGUCGACCAAUAUUCGAACCACUGGAAGGGCGGGGAAGGUUCCUGCUUUCAAACGCAAUUGGUUGUUCUGGCUUCCUGGUGUUUACAAGACUAGACUACCUGUGAUGUAUAGUAAUGGGAAGGGGAGUGUGAGUGGUGAUAAGAUGUCGUUAUUAAAAAAAAUACAUCGGUCUUUAUUGAAGAACUCAUCAAGCUCGACUGGCUUUCCGAGUGAUCCACUGCACGCAGUGCUUCAUUGUAGCAUCUGCGGAAACACGAUCCACACAUGGUCCUUUGGUCGUGGUGUUAGAACACGGAUUGGUUCUAAGAUCGGGGUCGAAAGUUAGGAUGUUAUUAAACAUACGCCUGCGACGACUCCAUCGUUAUCCAUCAUUUGAACGAUUAUUAGUUACUUUAGGUUGGUCGGGGCGCUUCAUCCCCCGCAAAUUUUUCAAUUUGAUAUUAAACGCAUUUAUUCACUUAACGCAGACCCGAGUGCCCGCGAUGAAGAAAUAAUUGAAAAGAACGUCCGGCGCGACUCGGCAUCGGCAUUUAACUCCUGCUGAUGCUACGCGUCGAACUGCUAAUGCGGCGGAAUUGCCUUUCGAUAGGGUUUGGGAUUUUGAAUAGGAGUUCGAAAUUUAUGGCGUUUAGGGUUAGUUCUGUAGUGAGUACUGGAAAAGGCAUAGGGUUAAAUUGUGAACUGGAUUCUCUAUUGAGGUGUCGGUGGAUAUCUAGAAACAUGACGUCAUGUUUUUAUUGUUUUUUAGCAAAUUCUUCCAUUUGGCCAGUAAUUUUUGCAAGUGCCUUAACUAUUUCCUCCAUUUUAUCUUUUUCUUCUAAGCGGAGAUUUUUCAAUGAAGGCGUCUAAAUCGAUCGAUUAUACGCUCCAUUCUGAGUCUGAUGAGUCACAAUCACAGCGGCAUAAUCACACAGGAAUUCAGCAAUUGUCGAUAUUUUUUAACGCACUUGGUAUUUUUGAGCUUCUUGGCAUUGGCCAGUAGGUUUAAGGUAGAAUUCGUGUGGCUCCUAAAAAAGAAUCUCUCUUAGAACUCUCACAAUUUCAGCUGAAAUCAAAUCUCUCUUAGGACACUUCGUACUCCAACUGGUUGAUAUUUAUUCUAAGUCGGGCGCAAGUAUCUCUCUCUAAGAACGGACUUGGUUGCGUGUGAAAGAUUAUUAAACCGAGGUGGUUCGUAUUUCACUAUGGGGAAAAUAAAAUUUAAACUCACCUUGCAAUCGUGUUUGUGCGGGGUUCUUGGGUGUUUGGUUCUCCAGUGGCGUGAUGGGUACACGGUGAUUUCUCACCUCCGGGCUUCUCUACGAGCAGCGUCAGAUGCUAUCACUUUCCACGGGUAUGUGUUUGUCUUUCGCGGACUCAUUUCAGCUUAAUUUAUCAAUCCGGCUUUUACAUUGUUUUUUGUACGCACAAAUCUUUCACUUAGUCCCUGAACCGUGACGUGCGCGCCAAUCUUAGUUCGGUUUCGGAUCCUACGUUCCGCGACGAAUUAAAUGUAAAUUAAACGAACAAAGUUCCAAUCGUUUCUUUGAUAAGAACAAUAUUUAAUCUAAGCCCAUCGUUUGGAUUUGGGCUUCCCGCUAGUUGCUCCGCAAAAGUAGGGAGUCCAUGCAGCAGAAGGGGAGAGCUGGGAGGUUUUUGAGAAUUUUGAGACUAACUUGUGGAGGUCAAAACUCAUCUGAUGGAUAUGCCUGUGUCUGCUCUCGGGUCAAUAUUUGAGGGAAUACGUCGCGAGAUGAUGCCGCGUUGAACGAAACACGUGCCGAGGUGGUUAAACGCAAUCCCGCCAUCGAUCAUUGGAUGCAUCUUGUAGCUAUUCACUGGAGCUAGGCCAAUCACCAUGAGCGUUAUUAGUAAGACCACUUACCACUUUUUUACCAUAUCUGCGUUUUGCACCUUUCCUCGCAACCAUUUUCCUGGUGUGGCAUUAUCGUCGGUUAGGAUGACGAUGUUAUCUUUCUUGAUAGGAUUUCUUGAUCAAUUUUGUUGGUCCAUUUAUUCCUUUGAAUAAGUGUCCGGGGAAAUACUUCUUCCCAAACAGUCCCAAAAGAUGUUUGUGUGGUGCUGGGCUAGUUCGUAUUGGGUUUUAACGAAAGCGGAUGCGAAUACAGUUUGCGGGGGUAUACGUUCCCCGCUUCUUCCGAUCAGGAAGUGGAACGAAGUGAGCAAUUCAUCGUGUUCCUUUCCCACCGGGAUGUGCUUAAGCGGUCUGGAGUUUAUCAGUGCUUCUAUCUGUACGAAGGGUAUUGGGAGAAGGUUUGCGUUGUUUCAAUUGCUCGCUCAUGUGUUGGAGGCCCUUUAUACUGUUCUGGUUCGGGUGCUCCCAAACUUCACCGAAGUGCGGCGCGGACUGUGGGUUGAAAUGCCACUGAAGAUCAUAUUUCAGUGCUGCUGCUUGGCCCAUGUAUUGAUCGAUAUCGUUUACCAGUCGUUGGAGCUCUUUCUCUGCACCUACAAAAUUGUCUGUUAUCGCUGUAUAAGUGCGCGAUCUUACCUCUGAGGCAUUGCAUGU